rnacentral:rRNA from 1 species
AUUGAACGCUGGCGGCAUGCCUUACACAUGCAAGUCGAACGGCAGCACGGGAGCAAUCCUGGUGGCGAGUGGCGAACGGGUGAGUAAAGUAUCGGAACGUGCCCAGUCGUGGGGAAUAACGUAGCGAAAGUUACGCUAAUACCGCAUACGAUCUAUGGAUGAAAGGGGGGGAUCGCAAGACCCAGCGCUAUUGGAGCGGCCGAGAUCAGAUUAGGUAGUUGGUGGGGUAAAGGCUAACCAAGCCGACGAUCUGUAGCUGGUCUGAGAGGACGACCAGCCACACUGGGACUGAGACACGGCACAGACUCCUACGGGAGGCAGCAGUGGGGAAUUUUGGACAAUGGGCGCAAGCCUGAUCAAGCCAUGCCGCGUGCAGGAUGAAGGCCUUCGGGUUGUAAACUGCUUUUGUACGGAACGAAAAGGUCUCUCUUAAUACGGGGGGCUCAUGACGGUACCGUAAGAAUAAGCACCGGCUAACUACGUGCCAGCAGCCGCGGUAA